ACGUACAGAGAGAUUAGCGUGGCCCCUGCGCAAGUAUGACACGCAAAUUCAUGAAGCGUUCCAUAUUUUU
rnacentral:snRNA from 1 species